rfam:Gossypium hirsutum cultivar TM-1 chromosome 9, whole genome shotgun sequence
AAUCCAUGGUGAGCGCACUGUCUCAAUAAGUCCUUAUACCUCUCCUAUACAUCAUAUAGGGUUUCUAAGUCGAUGUGAACGAAGGAAGAGAUAUCAUUCCUCAACUU